UGACUNGAGUGCAGAAGGGGGGAGUGGAAUUCCAUGUGUAGCGGUGAAAUGCGUAGAUAUAUGGAGGAACACCAGUGGCGAAAGCGGCUCUCUGGUCUGUCACUGACGCUGAGGCUCGAAAGCGUGGGUAGCGAACAGGAUUAGAUACCCUGGUAGUNCACGCCGUAAACGAUGAGUGCUAGGUGUUAGGCCCUUUCCGGGGCUUAGUGCCGGAGCUAACGCAAUAAGCACUCCGCCUGGGGAGUACGACCGCAAGGUUGAAACUCAAAGGAAUUGACGGGGGCCCGCACAAGCGGUGGAGCAUGUGGUUUAAUUCGAAGCAACGCGAAGAACCUUACCAGGUCUUGACAUCCCGAUGCUAUUCUUAGAGAUAGGAAGUUACUUCGGUACAUCGGAGACAGGUGGUGCAUGGUUGUCGUCAGCUCGUGUCGUGAGAUGUUGGGUUAGGUCCCGCAACGAGCGCAACCCUUAUUGUUAGUUGCCAUCAUUAAGUUGGGCACUCUAGCGAGACUGCCGGUAAUAAACCGGAGGAAGGUGGGGAUGACGUCAAAUCAUCAUGCCCCUUAUGACCUGGGCUACACACGUGCUACAAUGGUCGGUACAACGAGUUGCGAGCCGGUGACGGCAAGCUAAUCUCUGAAAGCCGAUUUCAGUUCGGAUUGGAGGCUGCAACUCGCCUCCAUGAAGUCGGAAUCGCUAGUAAUCGCGGAUCAGCACGCCGCGGUGAAUACGUUCCCGGGCCUUGUACACACCGCCCGUCACACCACGAGAGUUUGUAACACCCGAAGUCGGUGAGGUAACCUUUUAGGGGCCAGCCGCCUAAGGUNGGA
rnacentral:rRNA from 1 species